GUCGAGCGAACGGACGAGAAGCUUGCUUCUCUGAUGUUAGCGGCGGACGGGUGAGUAACACGUGGAUAACCUACCUAUAAGACUGGGAUAACUUCGGGAAACCGGAGCUAAUACCGGAUAAUAUUUUGAACCGCAUGGUUCAAAAGUGAAAGACGGUCUUGCUGUCACUUAUAGAUGGAUCCGCGCUGCAUUAGCUAGUUGGUAAGGUAACGGCUUACCAAGGCAACGAUGCAUAGCCGACCUGAGAGGGUGAUCGGCCACACUGGAACUGAGACACGGUCCAGACUCCUACGGGAGGCAGCAGUAGGGAAUCUUCCGCAAUGGGCGAAAGCCUGACGGAGCAACGCCGCGUGAGUGAUGAAGGUCUUCGGAUCGUAAAACUCUGUUAUUAGGGAAGAACAUAUGUGUAAGUAACUGUGCACAUCUUGACGGUACCUAAUCAGAAAGCCACGGCUAACUACGUGCCAGCAGCCGCGGUAAUACGUAGGUGGCAAGCGUUAUCCGGAAUUAUUGGGCGUAAAGCGCGCGUAGGCGGUUUUUUAAGUCUGAUGUGAAAGCCCACGGCUCAACCGUGGAGGGUCAUUGGAAACUGGAAAACUUGAGUGCAGAAGAGGAAAGUGGAAUUCCAUGUGUAGCGGUGAAAUGCGCAGAGAUAUGGAGGAACACCAGUGGCGAAGGCGACUUUCUGGUCUGUAACUGACGCUGAUGUGCGAAAGCGUGGGGAUCAAACAGGAUUAGAUACCCUGGUAGUCCACGCCGUAAACGAUGAGUGCUAAGUGUUAGGGGGUUUCCGCCCCUUAGUGCUGCAGCUAACGCAUUAAGCACUCCGCCUGGGGAGUACGACCGCAAGGUUGAAACUCAAAGGAAUUGACGGGGACCCGCACAAGCGGUGGAGCAUGUGGUUUAAUUCGAAGCAACGCGAAGAACCUUACCAAAUCUUGACAUCCUUUGACAACUCUAGAGAUAGAGCUUUCCCCUUCGGGGGACAAAGUGACAGGUGGUGCAUGGUUGUCGUCAGCUCGUGUCGUGAGAUGUUGGGUUAAGUCCCGCAACGAGCGCAACCCUUAAGCUUAGUUGCCAUCAUUAAGUUGGGCACUCUAAGUUGACUGCCGGUGACAAACCGGAGGAAGGUGGGGGAUGACGUCAAAUCAUCAUGCCCCUUAUGAUUUGGGCUACACACGUGCUACAAUGGACAAUACAAAGGGCAGCGAAACCGCGAGGUCAAGCAAAUCCCAUAAAGUUGUUCUCAGUUCGGAUUGUAGUCUGCAACUCGACUACAUGAAGCUGGAAUCGCUAGUAAUCGUAGAUCAGCAUGCUACGGUGAAUACGUUCCCGGGUCUUGUACACACCGCCCGUCACACCACGAGAGUUUGUAACACCCGAAGCCGGUGGAGUAACCUUUU
rnacentral:rRNA from 1 species